rnacentral:rRNA from 1 species
AUUGAACGCUGGCGGCAUGCCUUACACAUGCAAGUCGAACGGUAACAGGUCUUCGGAUGCUGACGAGUGGCGAACGGGUGAGUAAUACAUCGGAACGUGCCUAGUAGUGGGGGAUAACUACUCGAAAGAGUGGCUAAUACCGCAUGAGAUCUACGGAUGAAAGCAGGGGAUCGCAAGACCUUGUGCUACUAGAGCGGCCGAUGGCAGAUUAGGCAGUUGGUGGGAUAAAAGCUUACCAAGCCGACGAUCUGUAGCUGGUCUGAGAGGACGAUCAGCCACACUGGGACUGAGACACGGCCCAGACUCCUACGGGAGGCAGCAGUGGGGAAUUUUGGACAAUGGGCGCAAGCCUGAUCCAGCAAUGCCGCGUGCAGGAUGAAGGCCUUCGGGUUGUAAACUGCUUUUGUACGGGACGAAAAGCCCUGGGUUAAUACCCUGGGGUCAUGACGGUACCGUAAGAAUAAGCACCGGCUAACUACGUGCCAGCAGCCGCGGUAACAC